rnacentral:rRNA from 1 species
UACGUAGGGUGCAAGCGUUGUCCGGAAUCAUUGGGCGUAAAGCGCGUGUAGGCGGCUCAAUAAGUCUGCUGUGAAAAUCCAGGGCUCAACCCUGGAACGCCGGUGGAUACUGUUGGGCUCGAGUCCGGAAGAGGCGAGUGGAAUUCCUGGUGUAGCGGUGAAAUGCGCAGAUAUCAGGAGGAACACCAAUGGCGAAGGCAGCUCGCUGGGACGCGACUGACGCUGAGACGCGAAAGCGUGGGGAGCAAACAGG